rnacentral:tRNA from 6 species
UGCGGGGUGGAGCAGUGGCAGCUCGUCGGGCUCAUAACCCGAAGGUCACAGGUUCAAGUCCUGUCCCCGCUA